rnacentral:rRNA from 1 species
GUAGGGUGCGAGCGUUAAUCGGAAUUACUGGGCGUAAAGCGUGCGCAGGCGGUUUUUGUAAGACAGAUGUGAAAUCCCCGGGCUUAACCUGGGAACUGCGUUUGUGACUGCAAGGCUAGAGUACGGCAGAGGGGGGGUGGAAUUCCUGGUGUAGCAGUGAAAUGCGUAGAGAUCAGGAGGAACACCGAUGGCGAAGGCAGCCCCCUGGGCCUGUACUGACGCUCAUGCACGAAAGCGUGGGGAGCAAACAGGAUUAGAUACCCUGGUAGUCCACGCCCUAAACGAUGUCGACUAGUCGUUCGGAGCAGCAAUGCACUGAGUGACGCAGCUAACGCGUGAAGUCGACCGCCUGGGGAGUACGGCCGCAAGGUUAAAACUCAAAGGAAUUGACGGGGACCCGCACAAGCGGUGGAUGAUGUGGAUUAAUUCGAUGCAACGCGAAAAACCUUACCUACCCUUGACAUGUCUGGAACCUUGCUGAGAGGCGAGGGUGCCUUCGGGAGCCAGAACACAGGUGCUGCUAG